UACAGGGGUCUCAAGCGUUGUCCGGAAUUAUUGGGCGUAAAGGGCUCGUAGGCGGUUUGUCGCGUCGGGCGUGAAAUCCACUGGCUUAACUGGUGGCUUGCUUUCGAUACGGGCAGACUGGAGGUAUGCAGGGGAGAACGGAAUUCCUGGUGUAGCGGUGAAAUGCGCAGAUAUCAGGAGGAACACCGGUGGCGAAGGCGGUUCUCUGGGCAUGUCCUGACGCUGAGGAGCGAAAGUGUGGGGAGCGAACAGG
rnacentral:rRNA from 1 species